ACACGUGACUAACCUACCCUAUGAGUGGGGGAUAACCUCGGGAAACCGGUGGCUAAUACCGCAUAACAUCGCAAGGGGAAGCUCCUUGCGAUCAAAGAAGCAAUUCGCUCAAGGAGGGGGUCGCGGCUGAUUAGCUAGUUGGUGAGGUAACGGCCCACCAAGGCUAAGAUCAGUAGCCGGCCUGAGAGGGCGCACGGCCACACUGGAACUGAAACACGGUCCAAGACUCCUACGGGAGGCAGCAGUGGGGAAUUUUGCGCAAUGGGGGAAACCCUGACGCAGCAACCGCCGCGUGGAGGAUGAAGUCCCUUGUGGAUGUAAACUCCUUUCGAUCGGGACGAUUAUCACGGUACCGGAAGAAGAAGCACCGGGUAACUCUGUGCCA
rnacentral:rRNA from 1 species